UAAGGAAUAUUGGACAAUGGGGGCAACCCUGAUCCAGCCAUCCCGCGUGCAGGAAGACGGCCCUAUGGGUUGUAAACUGCUUUUAUUAGGGAAGAACAGCAUCAAUGUAUUGGUGUAUGACGGUACCUAAAGAAUAAGCACCGGCUAACUCCGUGCCAGCAGCCGCGGUAAUACGGAGGGUGCAAGCGUUAUCCGGAAUCACUGGGUUUAAAGGGUGCGUAGGUGGAAUAAUAAGUCAGGCGUGAAAGGUUACAGCUUAACUGUAGACUUGCGUUUGAUACUGUUAUUCUUGAAUUAAGAUGAGGUUGGCAGAAUGCGACAUGUAGCGGUGAAAUGCAUAGAUAUGUCGUAGAAUACCGAUUGCGAAGGCAGCCAACCGGACUUAAAUUGACACUGAGGCACGAAAGCGUGGGGAGCGAACA
rnacentral:rRNA from 1 species